rnacentral:rRNA from 1 species
CACGUAGUUAGCCGUGGCUUUCUCAUAAGGUACCGUCAAUUGAUAGUCAUUUCCUCCUAUCACCUUUCUUCCCUUAUAACAGAAUUUUACAACCCGAAGGCCUUCUUCAUUCACGCGGCGUUGCUCGGUCAGGCUUUCGCCCAUUGCCGAAGAUUCCUUACUGCUGCCUCCCGUAGGAGUCUGGGCCGUGUCUCAGUCCCAGUGUGGCCGUUCACCCUCUCAGGUCGGCUACGCAUCGUCGCCUUGGUAGGCCUUUACCCCACCAACUAGCUAAUGCGCCGCAGGCUCAUCCAUCAGUGAUGCCAGGAGCAUCUUUAAACUUUCGUCCUAUCCGGUAUUAGCGAUCGUUUCCAAUCGUUGUCCCCGUCUGAUGGGCAGAUCACCUACGUGUUACUCACCCGUUCGCCGCUUCCCACCGAAGUGGUUCGCUCGACUUGCAUGUAUUAGGCACGCCGCCAGCGUUCAUCCUGAGCCAGGAUCAAACUCU